GGACUGGAAGUCAAAGAGGAUUCUGGGAAAUGUAGUAGAGAAGUGAUGAUCCAGGCAGGAAGUGACAUGUCAAGGAGACUCAUAUCUAAGCAAUGAAACAGGAAGUAUGCCCCUUUUUCUCCUUCCUCCUCCAGCGGCAGGAUGUGAUCCACCAGCAAGGAGGGACGCCAAUAAGGUGUCCGGAUCUUCCACUGGGUAUCAGAUGUAUGCUAACGAAGCUGGAAGACCAUGAUAACACAAACCUUCUACAGCCCAUUUGCUGCGAGACUCCUUCAGAUCAGUGCUGUUCUAGGCAAGAUGUGUGCACUAUACAUGACAGAGGCUCCAUGUCAGGUUACAAACAGCAUUCUGGAAGCCAAGCAACCUUACAGGAAUAUAAGGAAGUGGGUGCCAGGAGCCAGAAGAAGGAGUCAGGUCCCCUGGUCUGGGAUCCCCAAUGGUUGUAAGCUAUCAUGGGUGCUGGGAACUGAAGUCCAGUCUUUGAAUGGUCUACGAGUCAAGAUGCUCAAUGAAGAGACAGGAGGCCACAGGGAGGAUCAUGUGAAGAGCAACCUGUUGUUAUUGAGCACCGUGAGAGGAAGAUCCAGGAGGUCAGUGCAAGAGUCAAUGAGCACUCUACAGAGCACUGCAGCUAUCAGUGAGAACUGUGUGAGGAGCCUGGACAUCACUGAUGCAACAUUCAGAGAACACUGCCGCCUGUCGAGCACCCCUGCAGUCAGUGAGCACCCUCUGUGGAGCACAAUUCUCUCAAUCCUGCUGACAGGAAGGUAUUACAAUUUUGCUGGCAUCAGUGACCUGGCAUCUUGGAAUUAUCCCCUGCUUCAGUUUACAGAGGAAUAAACCGCUGCCCGAUCUCUGUGCCAGAAUGUUAUAGAGAAGGCGUUUUGUUUAUUUGAACUAAGCCAGUGACCUUUGCCAGCAUUCGAAUCAUGAGCUGCAAAUUACAUGGAGUACCUUCCCUGCAUCAUGAAGAAAUGGUAUCGAGUUCCAGGGCCGUAUGGGACGAAACUGCAUUUGCUCUCAGCUCCUCAACAUUUAAUGAGAGAUCCUGAACAACAGAUAAAGUUGACAUGAUAUGACAAAGAUCCAUGGUGGCAGGGAGGCUUUUUUGUCAUAAUGGUGAUGUGCAAACUUCAGAAGAUUUAGCCUUCAAGUUUGGACACACUGCCAAGAAUGCGGAUUCCUUUUUUAAGUGGCCAGAUGUCUCAUGUCUGUAGAACUGUGCUUUCUGAGACAUUUUCUUUAUUUGUUGGUUUAGAUCAGAACAAGAAAGUACAUUGCCUUCUUGAAUCUAAUUCAAGUCACUUCCCGGGUCUGAGAAGCAUACCAUACCUUCAGACACCUAUUUUUAUCAUUUAAUAUAUUAUGUUGGAUUUUUACUGACUGUGUCAAAGCUAGAUUUAUUUUAGAACAUAUAUAUUUCAUCUUAAGCAAAGUCAAAAUGUUAAAAGUCACUGUAUGAAAACCAGGGAAUGCGAUGGAAAACUAGCAGAUUAUCAGAAAGUAGUUUUUAAAAAAACCCACAAACACCAAAGGGAAAUCAGACAGGUCUUUGAUAACUUUGCUUCAUUGAGCGCCCUGGGACUGUCUUGGUCAUCUCUACACAGCAACAAGGCUACCUUCAUGCACAGAUUAUGGUUGUGACUAUCAAGGAGAGAAAAUUACUGAAGUACAAGUUUUUUACUUCUUAAAAGAAAUUUUAUAUCCUGUUAUUGCAAGUGAUACAACACCAAGGAGUUAGGUUCUCACAUAUUACCAUGAAUCCUUUUACUCACUCACCUCAGUUCUGAAGAGAGUUGACCAGUUCUCCAUUAAGCUCAGGCUGAACUCUCUCAUGGAUUCACUGGAACUUCAUGUGUGUUAAGAGCAGAAAUAGUUGACAGCUUUGCUCACUGUAGUAUCCAUAAAGAGUAGGAAAACAAAUUAGUGCUGUUUGCUCCUUAUGCAUACACUGAGUCCAUGGCAUGGGGCUUCAAACAUUACUAUUAACAGUUCUCAAUUUGAACAUUACAAGCUGAUUUUAGUGACCUCAAUCACAGAUUUGAUGGCUGUUGAUAUUUAAGAGGAAGCAUUCCCACAAUGCUGAGAGCAUUCCUCAUGGACAUGGCAUCAUUCCACUGAGAAUGGUCCUGUACUUUUUUCAAGUUGGUAGUCUGAGUUAGAACAAAUCUCUCUGCCUUUCUGGUUGACACCAUGAGGUAAUAGUCCUUCAUACAUUGGAAUUUGUUCCUGCACCCAUAAUGAGCUCCAUUCAAACAUUUUAAACACAUGAUUUCCAUAAUCCUAAAUCCUGCUCUUCAUUGUUGUUAUCCAGCAUCGAGCAUAGAAAUUAUGUAAACCUUAAUGAACCUGUGAACAUUCUCUUCCAUGCACUUCCAGAAAGCAAAAUGACAAUGUCUACAGCGUACCGUAAACAUCAUCUGCUCCCCCAGGACCAGCACUGUGAUUAAACUGCUGAGACUGAAGGCUGGAAGGGGAGUGAGAGAUCCUGGGACAGGAUGAUGUGCAGGGCGUAAGUCUAACUUUAAGUUAACUUUUGUUGUUACUUUUCAGCCAGUGAUGGUAUUAAAAAGUUGUAGACUCCAAGGAAAAUGUAAUUCCAAAACUUAUGAAGUUCUCCUUGGGUAAUUGGUAGAGGAUCCAAGUAAAGAAAUAGUAGAGUUCUUCAGAGGCCUGGGUGAUCUGCUGCCUUGUGUAAUAGUUAUAGCAAAAGAGAGAGAAAAGCAAAUGACUAACUGUCUUGUUCAGAAGGAUACUAUGUAAGCAAUAGACAGCACAUUCUGGAAGGAGUUCAGGAGAUAUGUUUGGAGUACUUACAUAGUACCUCACUUAGCCGUCGCUUUACUUCUCUCUCUAAACAAUGCUCCAUAGUGAAGUUCCCUUCUCUUUAUCUUUAUAUGGAUGAGUCAGCCGCUCUCCUCACGAAAGAUUAAAUGAGAUAAUGCAUAUAAAAGUGUUACCUAAGCCAUAAUGUGUCCUGCUAAUGUUACACACUGUCAGGGCCCAUUAAUUUACUUAGAAACCAAAACAAACAAACUCUAGUUCUUAGAGGUGUGCAGAUACUGAAUAAGCAUUGUAGGCACCUGGGCUCCCUCACUGAAUGAAUGACAUCCUCCUUGAGAAAGGAGAAAUGAAACAAAGAGGUGGUGAUGUCAGUUCUUACAAUAUUUUAAUUCCAUCUCUAUGCUCAUGAACAGCAAAUAUGUUAGGGACUUCUUACCUUUCUAGGACCUAGAAUUCAAGAUUCCAGCACAGUAGAAUUAAAUUCCAUAACUUCAAAGAAAGCCAAGUUGCUCCCUUGGUCCCUAUGCUGGACAUGCUGGAAAGAUAAUAUGAGGAUACUAGAGAAAGAAAUCAUCUCUGAAGCUGGAGGAUGAAUGAAGACUUCAGCUAAGUCUGCUUACUGAAUCUAGAAACAGCCAUGGAAGAGCACACCAUUUGGGUUCUCAGAAACCAAGCAUAUAGGGAGACUAGGAUGGGAAGAUAUGAUAGGCCCAGAUGAAGAUAAGCUUCUGUGAACAAGAGACAAAGACUCCAGAUUGGAUAAAUCAAGCAGCUGGUAAGCAAGGGUGAGUUGGACUGCAGAAAAACACCUUUAGCCUUGAAGGCCCACAGAUUCGAACUAAUGUCUUAGCGCUAUAGAUCAAGUCCUUAGAGAAAAGUGUGGCUUAGAUAAGUAAGACUGUUGUGGUACAGAGAAGUAAGUUUGAGUCACCUUAGCAACAUGGACAAUUGGGAUAGAUAAUCCUCUCUGAUUUCCCAUUGCUUAGUAGGACAAUGACUGUGCACAUACUAAGUUAACUGAAGAUGUAGGAUGGUGUUCUCUAUCUGUGUGCAAUAUUAAUAACCCCUGGAUCUCUCAAAGUUAAAUUGGCUAGCCUAAUCCUGACUCAAGCCAAUUCAAUUUAAAUCUCCAACUGGGGGUACUUGGACUUCUUUGAUUGGUUCAGGUUUCCUAAAUGAUUCUAAUGCAAGCUUCGGAACCAUUUACUUACAAGUUUUAAGAUAAAAAAGAAAUGUGUGAGAAGCUUAUGCUCAAAUCACUUUUUCUAUGGUGACUCUAUGAGUCAAUGAUCUCUAAUGGCAUCUAGAAAUGCAUCAAAGGGCAAUUAUUAGCAAGAGUCAAGCAGUGCAAACUGACAGCAUCAAGGUGGCCCCAACAAGGUAAGUACUGAAUCUGAUUCUUCGCAGUCUUUUCCUUACUAAGAGUAAAGAUGAAAUAAACUAGGAAGCCACUGCAGUCUGCUUCCUAGGGCUCAUGCAAACCUCAUCUUGGCAUCAUCCAAAGGAGACUCAAGGAAAAGCCUUCUCUGUAAUUCUCCAUAGCAUCCUCCUCCCACACUCAUUACCACAAAUAGUUACUGAACUUCUAUUAUGUUCAUUGAUUCUUAUUUUGUGUACCAACUAUAAAGCUUAUAUGCAGGCUGUCAGUGGAAUUAUAGCGGAGUGCUGGAGACAAAGAUUCUGUGUCUUUGCUCACCCAAUGACUACUUCUGCAAAGUGAAGACUGGGGAGUCCAAUGAGAUCAAAGACUUAAGAGCUGAUAGUGCUGAGAACAGGGGAUGUGAGCAAGGAUGCUCAUUGAAGAUUCCAAUAAUCUUGACUCUGGCACUGUUGCUCUUCUCAUCUGUCUUUGCAUCUUGUGUCAUGAUCUCUACCUAGUUCAGUCAGAUAGAAUGGAGCUGGCCAGAACCUGCCUAAUGAACAGAGCCAGGAGAAGUUCAUUUAAAACUUAGGAUUUACCAACGUGUCAGAAUAACUGCCUGGCGGAUGAGCAAUAUGAGCAAAAUGGCCUCAUAGCGACAGGCAUGGAAAGGGAUACAAGAUGUCAGACUAAAAAGCAUUUAGUGAAUGCCACAGUUGCUAUUCGACUUAAAUCUUGAGUCCUAGAAUGAUGGGGUAUGUCAGAAACUUGCAGAACAUAUUAUGAGAUGCUCACAACUGGCUGCUCCUUAUAGAAAAGCAAGACUCAGACAUGCAUUUGGGCACUGGGACAGGAUGAAUUAUAUGGAUGUGAGCUAAUAGUUCAAGGCCUGUGUCCUGGAACAAACUUGGACUAAGUCUCUGGAAAUGGAACCAAGUUUCUCUAGGCGCCAAGGGGACUUCGUGCUUGGCUGGUGAAUAUCUAAUCGCUUGCUCCCUGAAUUCCCCAGGCCUGGGGUCAAGAGGGUUUCCAGGCAUUUGGGGGCUGGAUCUGAGGUUGGAGUUAAGUGAUUCCAGCAUCUAUAUAAAGGCAGAAAGCCAAAGAGAUCAUCACUAUGACUGUUUUUAAACUUCAAUUCUAGUAUCUUUCCCAAACUACCUUUGGUGUGUGGUUGUAGUCCAUCUAGUAGAAUUCCCAAAGAAAGGAUAUUAAAUAAGCUAUUUCAAGUUGAACAAAGUUAGGUGCUACUUCACAAUGCCCCAAAAUGACAUAAUAUAAAGAUCACAAAAGUAUUUAUCUGAGAGAAUGACUAUGUGCAUUUGAUAGUCUAGAAGAUCUGAUAUUAUGGGGAAUAUGUAAUAUACUUUAAGUAUGUAUUGGUAUACACAAGAAAGGCAUAGCUGCAGUAUAGGCACAUUAUUGAUAAACAUGAUUUUCAGGGGCUGGAGACUCAGAAAUUCAGAUGACUCAGAAAUUAAGAACACUGACUGCUCUUCCAGAGGACCUGGGUUCAAUUCCCAGUACCCACAUGGCAGCCCACAACUAUCUGUAACUCUGGUUUCAGGAGAUCAGACAUGUUCAAUAGCAAUGCAAAUAAAA
ensembl:lncRNA